AUGCCUCGCGAAAAGAGUGUUAAAGUGAAAGAAGUUAUUACUUCUCUCUGUAAAUUACUGUCUGUAUUAAGCGUCGAGUCGAUACCAACAGCUGAGGCAUUCAGGAGAGCCAAAUUCAACAGAAAAGAUGCGGCAGAGGACAUGUGGAGUUUGCUAAGCAGGCUUUUGCAGAAAGCUUUUGCUCUGGAUUGUGCAUGCUGGGACUUCAGAGACCAAGACUAUGAUAUGCAGCUGUUGUUUGUCAGGAGUGCUCUGUGUUACUGUGGCUAUGGGGCCCCGUGGGUGGUGGGGCCCUGGUCUCCCAGUCACAUAGAAGAGGUGCGGAGCCGCGAUUUGCUCCUGGCGUUCGGCUGGGUGCUGUCAUCAGGGAAUCUGCUAGACUUCAUGCUGGCUGAGAAGGUUCAUCAGUUUGACACACUCUCAUCUGCACCAUUGAUCCCCCAAGGUCUAAUACUUGGACAGCCUGACGUAGCGGCACAUGGACCAGGAGAGGAUGCCUCAGUGAAGAAGGACCCGGUACUACAGGCACUGCAGUGGGAGUAUGGGAAACUCAGACUUCAGUGGAAGAGCUUACUCUCAGCCCAAGAGGAGAGGUCCAAAUUCACUCAUAGGGUUAUCUCCAGUAUCAGCCCCUCUGCUGUCUGUCAGCCUCACAUCACUGGUUCCCAUCACAGCAACACGACAUCAACUGCUCUUGACAAGGAGCUGGAGCGGAUACAAGCGUUGAAUGGAAUUCUGGAGGCGUAUCUGGAUUGGAAAUGCCACGAACCUUUAUUCUGGUGCUGGAUGGACAGCGUGAUCGACAGCUCCCUCGCUGAUGCGUCCGAGGUCGAUCUUGCCGAUUGGCCACCAGGGGAGCGGGCUGUCACGGUGAGGUGUCCCCACGGAGACGAGACCAGGAGAGCAGUCAGACGACUUGACAAGAUGUUGCUAAGGCUGCAGACAGAACUGAGAGCCAGAAGAAUAGAGCAGUCCACUCUCACACUCACCUCACAGGGGGGACGUCAAGGGGCUUCUCGGCUCUCUGAAAGUCAGAGAAUAGAGGUGGAGAAGAAGGUUUCAGGCUAGUUAGAGGGUCUCCGGCUUACUAACACCUCCGCAAUCACAUCAAGAGGCUUUUUGCCAUGUCUACAGGAUCCACAGCCCACAAAGACACCUCACAGGUUCCACACUGGAGAACCUGGCCUGGACGUGACAGCUGGGAAGCUCCAGGCAUCGACAGCUCUGGAUGAGCUGAAGGAGAGGGCGGCUGUACUGCGAUGGCAGCUGGAACGAUUGAGGCAAAAUAUGAGAAUGGAAAUGCAGAGACAGGCCGGCACAAUGGAGAGGAUGGUUCUCAUCCCACCAAUUAAGAGAUAAACACAUUUUUUGUGUCACUGUAUGCACUGGGAUCCUGACAUAAAGUUGGACAGGCUGCAUUUUGAGUCCCUAAUUAAGGUGAACAUGUUAGUGUUUGAAUUACAACUCUAACUUAUGGAUGUUCUGCAUUAGAGAAUCAAUUUCUUAUGUAUUUAAAAAUGACUGCCGCUGUGUGAAUGUCUGUGUGCAUAGAAAAUAAAGAAUCUUCAAGGCCAUUUAGUCUGUACUUG
ensembl:lncRNA